UACAGAGGUCCCAAGCGUUGUUCGGAUUCAUUGGGCGUAAAGGGUGUGUAGGUGGCGCCGUAAGUCGGGUGUGAAAUCUCGGGGCUUAACUCCGAAACUGCAUUCGAUACUGGAAAGCUCGAGUUCGGGAGAGGUGAGUGGAACUGCGAGUGUAGAGGUGAAAUUCGUAGAUAUUCGCAAGAACACCAGUGGCGAAGGCGGCUCACUGGCCCGAUACUGACGCUGAGGCACGAAAGCGUGGGGAGCAAACAGG
rnacentral:rRNA from 1 species